CCGAGCGUGGCGAGGGCGGAGCCGGGGAGUGCACGGAGGCCACCACCUGCAUGUAUCUGCUGCAGCCUGCAGGAGCCGCAGGGGCUGAGGGGGGGGAGUGGAAAGCACCGGGCCGAAGCCGGGGCAGGGGUCGCAGCUGCUCCCCAUUAGCGGUGCCGUGGCCUUUGCAGGGCUGCUGCCCCCCCUGUGCCGCUGCGGCUCCUCCAUGGCUGGGGCUCGCCACCCCCGCAAGCGGACGCUCUGGCUCUCUGUUGCCUCCGGAAGGCGGCUUCUCCCUGCCGAGCCAGGGCACCACUUUUUGGCGCCCCCAACCACUUGGUGCUCUAGGCGACCGCCUAAUUCGCCUAAUGGUUGCAGCGGCCCUGGCAAUGUUGCAUGGCAAGGCUUGUGGCUUUCCUUUCUCCCAGCCUCCUGCUCCCAGCGGCAGAGCUGAAGCGGCGGGCAGGGAGCGCGAGGGCAGACAGGCCUUGGGGCGCCUGCCGCCGCUUCGGCCAGCUGGCCUCCCACACCUGCUGCCAAGGGGGCAAGAGCACCGGCUGGUAAGAAAAACAAAGACGCCACGGGGCCGGGCGCCCAAAGCCCUCGCCCUGGGCUGCGGCGGGCGAGGCGGCUACAGCCUGGGAGACCUUUGCGGAAGCAAGCGAGGACAAGGUGGCAAAAGCCUCUGCCAAAGGGAGACCUGCAGCACCCAGGCCCAUCCCUGUUUAGCUUCUGAGAACAAACAAGGUCAGGUGUGUUCAGGGUAUUAUAACUCUAGAUGCUAGUGUUAGCUGCUUUGCCUGCCUUUAAGCGAGCCCACAGAUGCUCCCUGCCUGCUCCAUACUGCUGAUUCCCGCGCCCCCCCCCAGACCCACAACGCGCUCACGCACGCACCACCAGCCUCACACCCCAGCCUCGCCACACCAAGGCUCACGCCCCGCAACACCAUCCGCAGCCCCCGACCCCUGGUCCGCACGCACCGCACCUAAGCCUUCUCCCCACCCCCCCUCACAAAUACACCGCCCCCCCCCCCGGCUACUCCCUCACCACGCACUCUCUCCUGAGACGGGACCCUCACAAGGCCACCACACCCACCCCCGACACAAAACCCCACACACCACCACCCCCAGACGCAACGCACUGCCCAGGACGGGGCUGCCCCCUGCACACCUGCUGCUGUGCCUCACCUGUACGCACCCCCCAGGCCACUGUGGAAGUGACCUAAGCCCCAAAAAGGGGAUAAGACUCAGUAUUAAAAGCCCAAGAAAGGGGCUGGAACUUAAACAUGACAUCAGAGAACCACUGAGGACAAAGAACCUCCAGGGAGAAAGCCCUGGGGACAGUGCUUAAAACAGAGCAGUGAGAGACUUAAAGCUAGCCCAGAAGUGGCUGAGAACUAAGCCCAGAAACACAACUGCAGACACCAACCAGGGCAUGGUGGUAGUCCUUGUUGACCUUUGUUCCCUUGGAAGGGGUUCAUCCAUUUUAGACUGCCCAUGACUCAGCCAGAGGCUGAGCCACUGAAGACUUAUCUGACAAGUGCAACAGCUGGCAUGCGAGCAGAGAGUGCAGGUUUGCACCCAGCUGACAGGAGGCGCUCAAAAGAGGAAACUCACAGGAAUUUUGUAUACCAAGAAUACAUGACACAGAAGCCUGGUAACAUAGCACAGAAAGAAUGGCCUGUGAAAGCCCAUGAUGAAGGGGCAAUUUACUGGUGUUCAAACCAAUCUCCAGCUCAGAGGAGCUACCCCCUGAAUCAUGCUCCCACCAUCCUCUGACAAACAAAAAGAAAAGCUCUGUGAUGAACACUGCAACAUCCUGGAUGGCAGGGUGAACAACAGCUGUAAUGCUCAAAUCAUUCUCUCUGACACCAUAGGAAAAGUGAUCUUUUCUCUGCUCUGCCCGGUCUCAUGAUGCUGAGGCUUCUCUCGGACGUCUGCCCAUCACACAUUUAACCAGUUCACUACCAGUGGGGUGUGCUUCGCUUAUUGGUGGUUUGUUGCAAGGGAACAUAUUUGGAAGCACUUAUUCAUCUUUCUGGAGGUGCAUCUAUCUGACCUACAUCAUCAUAUUAGAGAAGCAUAUCACAAACAUAAAUACAUGUAUCUCCACAACCCCCUGUGAGGAGAACCGGAAUGCCCAGUAUAUCCAACAGAACUAGUGUUUGCUUUGGACAUAUCCCAGGAUGUCACACCCCAGUUACUUGAAAGAAUGAGAGAGCUUGCAAUAUCAGUAGUGAAUGCCACCAAAAUUAGAGACAGCAACUGCCCAGUGGGAGCUAGAGUCACUGUUCCAAUACUCGUUAUCUGAUUCGCUUCUCCGAGUUCUACAAGAAGAAUCAGCUCCUCAACAAACUUAAAAAUCUGGCUUAUGAGAGAUCCUCAAGUGAAUGGGAUAUUGCAGAGUGAUGUGAUUCAUUGCCAGGAAUGUUUUCAAGCAAACUCUCCAAGGUCCUAAUGUGAGAAAAGUAGCAGUGUUUUUCAGCAAUGACUGUCUGCAGAUGAAUUUUCUAUUAACACAGCAGUUCUGGAGUACACUGCAUUUGACAUUGUUUCAGUCGUUCUCGCUUUUAAUGAAGUUCCCCACAUCAGUUAUGCUUUCGCGACAAAUGUAGACCAGAUGACUUGUGAACGCCGCAGAUCCCGAUCACCACCGGCAUAUGUGGAUGCUGCUUUCAUUUUGGAUAGCUCACAGAAAAUGAGUGGUGCCAAAUUUGAGAAAGUGAAAGACUUCCUGGGUAGAGUACUUGAUAACUUUGACAUUUCCUCUGAGCCUGUGAUUUCUUCCACAGGUGAUAGGGUGACUCUGGUGAGCCAUGCUCCACCAGGUUUCAAACCCCACACAGGGAGGAGCCGUGUAAAGGCAGAGUUUGACUUUGUCACCUACAGCAGUAGACAGUUAAUGAAAAGACAUAUCCAAUGAUCUAUGUUCAACAGCUGAAUGGAGCAGCUGCUCUUGGCCAUGCCAUACAGAGGACAGUUGAUAAUAUUUUCUUAACUGCACACCACCCAAGAUAACACAAGGCUAUUAUUGUUAUAUCUGCUGGAGAAACAAGUCAGUGGGACAAAGAAACAUUAAAGAAUACGUAAGGAUAAGGCCUUUGUCAGCAGCCAUAUUGUAAGGCCUAAAGGCUAAGGCCUUCAUCUGCAGCCAGAUUAAAAGAGCAGCCGAGCAGCACCAUUAGCUGAGAAGCAGGAAGUCACAUCCUCACAUUCCAUCUAAAUUACAUUAAAAAAAUGUGAUAUCAGGCUGUUAAGAAGGAGACCCUGUCCUAAUAGCACCCACUAUCAUCAGAUAAAGAUACAGAUCUUAAGAUGGUUAAAGAAAACUUAGUCUGAUAGCAUCCUGUCUGUCAAGAUAUCACUUAUCUAUAGUUGUGGUUGUGAAAUCCUCAUCUCUUUAUUGUUUUGUCAUUAUGGUCCCCAGUUUGCUAUUGUUUAUCUGUAUGGUCUGUCAAGAUAUCACUUAUCUAUAGUUGUGGUUGUGAAAUCCUCAUCUCUUUAUUGUUUUGUCAUUAUGGUCCCCACUUCCCUAUUGUUUAUCUGUAUGGUCUCUGUCUGGUUCUUUAAUUGUUUCUGUCUGUUACAUAAUUAAUUUUGCUAGGUGUAAAUUAAUUAAGGUGGUGGGGUAGGAUUGGUUAAAGAAUUUUGUUACACUAUGUUAGGAUUGCUUAGUAAAAUUUUAGUAUAAUGAUUGUUUAAGGUACAGCUAAAAAGGACUCAAAUUUCAGUAUAUAAACUGGGGUCCAAAAGGAAGUUCUUUGAGAACCAACUCCAGGACACAGCCCCAAAGAUCAGCGCUGCCAGACCUCAGCACUCUGCCAAUGACACUGUGCAGAAACUGGAGCCCCCAAGAUGGACCUAAUCCUGACUGGCCAUCAAGAAAAGUUCAUCUGUCUGUCUUAUUGGGAGUGGUGCAAUCAACAAAUAUCCCCCAUUAGCACUCAGGAGAAAUUGUAACAGAAUCAGCUCUUAGGGCUUGGCUACACUUGUGAGUUAGAGCGCAUUAAAGCAGCUCCGGGCGCCCUAACUCAUGAUGUGUCCACACUGGCAAGUCACAUAGAGCACCCGGACUCCGCAGCUAGAGCACUUCUGGUGAUCCACCUCGGCCAGUGGAAUAACGCUUGAUGCGCCCCCGCUGGAGCGCCGGGGCGCCAGUGUGGACGCCCUGCUCUGUUAGUGCGCUGUGAUCGGCCUCCAGAAGUGUCCCACAGUGCCUGUUCUAGCCACUCUGGUCAUCACUUUUUGAACUCUACUGCCCUGCCCUCAGGUGACCAACCAUCAGACCCACUCUUUAAAUUCUCUGGGAAUUUUGAAAUUCCCCUUCCUGUUUGCUCAGCCGGCGUGGAGUGCUCUCAGCGAAUCUUUCCAGGUGACCAUGCCUCCAUGCACCAGGCGAUCCCCAGUAUGGAGCAAUGGCGAGGUGCUGGACCUUAUCAGUGUUUGGGGGGAGGAAGCUGUCCAGUCCCAGCUGCGCUCCAGCCGUAGGAAUUACGAUACCUUCGAGCAGAUAUCAAGGGACAUGAUGGAAAGGGGCCAUGACUGGGAUGCUGUGGAAUGAAGGAGCUGCGGAAUGCCUACUGCAAAGCCUGCGAGGCAAACAGCUGCUCCGGUGCUGCCCCCGCGACCUGCCGGUUCUACAAAGAGCUGGACGCGAUACUUGGGGGUGACCCCACCUCCACUCCUAGUACCACCAUGGAUACUUCAGAGCCGAGUUCAACAUGGUCAAGUUCAACAAGGCAGGAGGAGGAGGAGGAAAGCAGGAGCAAGGGUGCUGAGGAGGAAGAAACCCCAGAAUCCCUAGCUGCAUGCAGCCACCAGCUGCCUCCGACACCUGUAGCUUCACCACCGAGCCCUGAAAACUACGACCCUUACCCACUGCGCUCAACCCCCAUCACCAUGCAGUAGAGCCAUCCUGAAGUGCAGCACUCAUUGCACAGCACUCCAGACAGGAAGCCUGAGUAUGGUAACAGGACAUACGCAAACCUGUGAUUGAACCUUUCCCUGCCCCACCCCCUUGCCCUUUCUGUUUCCCAAGCAGUUGUGUUUCUUUUCAAUAAAUGAAUUUUAUUUUCAAUAAAUGGAUUUUUUGGCUUUG